rnacentral:rRNA from 1 species
GAUGAACGCUGGCGGCGUGCCUAAUACAUGCAAGUCGAGCGAACAGACGAGGAGCUUGCUCCUCUGACGUUAGCGGCGGACGGGUGAGUAACACGUGGAUAACCUACCUAUAAGACUGGGAUAACUUCGGGAAACCGGAGCUAAUACCGGAUAAUAUAUUGAACCGCAUGGUUCAAUAGUGAAAGACGGUUUUGCUGUCACUUAUAGAUGGAUCCGCGCCGCAUUAGCUAGUUGGUAAGGUAACGGCUUACCAAGGCAACGAUGCGUAGCCGACCUGAGAGGGGGGGUGGGCAACAGUGAAACUGAGACCGGGCCCAGACACCUGCGGGGGGCGGAAGUGGGGAUUCUCCAGAAUGGGGCGAAGGCCGGAGGGACAACGGCGGGGGGGGUAAUGAAGGUUUUCGUAUGUAAAACCUGUUUUAUGGGGAAAAAAAAAAGGGGAAAUAAACUAGGCAGUUCUUGACGGUCCCAAAUAAAAAAGCCCCGGCUAACUCCGUG